CUCCUGCUGCUCUUUGACCACGACAACAGCCAUGUGCAGUUGCUCUCCAUUCAACUCUUCUGUAAGGUGAUGGACUUGGUAGUGGAUGAGGGAAAAAAGUCCCUGGAGACAAUUGUGAACAAGAGCCUGGACACACUUUUCAUCUACUGUCAUGAUGAGAACUGGCACGUGGCAAAGGCCUCUCGGGAAACGCUGCAU